AUGAUGAGGCAUUAAAGAAGAGGAGGAGUGUCUCAAGGGAGGUGAGCUGGAGGUGAUGCAAGGAUGUCUGAUCUGAAAGCAUGUUGUGGUCUGCUACACACAAGAGCAAAAGAAGAGCAGGAAGGAGCUCAGUGCCAAGACCAUAGCCACAGGAAGAAAACCAGCUCUUAGGGCUGCAGCUCUAAAGACAGGCCAGGUCAUUACAGGAACGUCUGCUCCCUUAGCCUUGCCAGACAGAGGAGGUUAAGAAAGGAACUGCUGACCCUGAUAUGCAAACUGCCACGAGUGUUUCCUGCCUUUCUAUCAGCGUCAGAUGGCUAGCAAUGGAUGGCUGCGGAGAGAGGAUUCCAGACAGAUAUUUGAGCAGAACAAAGAGAGCCAACAGGAUGAAGGCAUUCCCUGGCUGGUUGGACAAGCAACUGAAGAACAGGAACAGAAGUGAAUGAAAAGAGAAAAUGCUGUGUUUCUGUUUUCUCUUGGUUAGAAUGCUGUGAGUCAGGACCUCAGCUGCUGGGUGUCCUGGGACUGCCUUCGAUGAAGAACCUGAGACUCACCUUGCUUAAGUGACUU
rnacentral:antisense_RNA from 1 species